rnacentral:ncRNA from 2 species
UAACUAUCAUAUUGUCAUACUUAUUUAUACUGCGAAUUGGCGCAGUGUCUCUACAAGACACCUUAAUGUCUAACAAUAAGUAAGCUUUUAAGCUUG